rnacentral:tRNA from 1 species
AAGCUUAUAGUUGAAUUGGUUACAACGUUCCGCUCAUAACGGAAAGCGUGCAGGUUCAAGUCCUGCUAAGCUUA